GGAGCCGGGGAAGAUUCGGAGGCCGUCGAAGGUGUGAUGCUCAAACGCCGCGACGCGCCGUAUCUGCCGGGCCGGCCGAAAGGCCAGUGGUGGAAAUGGAAACGCGAUCCGCACAUCAUCGACGCUGUGCUGAUGUACGCGCAGCGCGGCCACGGCAAGCGCUCCUCAUACUAUUCCGAUUACACGUUCGGCGUCUGGACCAGCAUCGACGGCGC
rnacentral:misc_RNA from 1 species